CUCGGAUCAGGUAGGGAUACCCGCUGAACUUAAGCAUAUCAU
rnacentral:rRNA from 1 species